rnacentral:rRNA from 1 species
CCCGAUAGUGGGGGAUAACCUGGGGAAACCCAGGCUAAUACCGCAUACGUCCUACGGGAGAAAGGGGGCUCCGGCUCCCGCUAUCGGAUGAGCCUAUGUCGGAUUAGCUGGUUGGUGAGGUAAAGGCUCACCAAGGCGACGAUCCGUAGCUGGUCUGAGAGGAUGAUCAGCCACAUCGGGACUGAGACACGGCCCGAACUCCUACGGGAGGCAGCAGUGGGGAAUAUUGGACAAUGGGGGGAACCCUGAUCCCAGCCAUGCCGCGUGUGUGAAGAAGGCCCUCGGGUUGUAAAGCACUUUCAGUGAGGAAGAACGCCUGGUGGUUAAUACCCAUCAGGAAAGACAUCACUCACAGAAGAAGCACCGGCUAACUCCGUGCCAGCAGCCGCGGUAAUACGGAGGGUGCGAGCGUUAAUCGGAAUUACUGGGCGUAAAGCGCGCGUAGGUGGCUUGAUAAGCCGGUUGUGAAAGCCCCGGGCUCAACCUGGGAACGGCAUCCGGAACUGUCAAGCUAGAGUGCAGGAGAGGAAGGUAGAAUUCCCGGUGUAGCGGUGAAAUGCGUAGAGAUCGGGAGGAAUACCAGUGGCGAAGGCGGCCUUCUGGACUGACACUGACACUGAGGUGCGAAAGCGUGGGUAGCAAACAGGAUUAGAUACCCUGGUAGUCCACGCCGUAAACGAUGUCGACCAGCCGUUGGGUGCCUAGCGCACUUUGUGGCGAAGUUAACGCGAUAAGUCGACCGCCUGGGGAGUACGGCCGCAAGGUUAAAACUCAAAUGAAUUGACGGGGGCCCGCACAAGCGGUGGAGCAUGUGGUUUAAUUCGAUGCAACGCGAAGAACCUUACCUACUCUUGACAUCCUGCGAAUUUGGUAGAGAUACCUUAGUGCCUUCGGGAACGCAGAGACAGGUGCUGCAUGGCUGUCGUCAGCUCGUGUUGUGAAAUGUUGGGUUAAGUCCCGUAACGAGCGCAACCCUUGUCCUUAUUUGCCAGCGCGUAAUGGCGGGAACUCUAAGGAGACUGCCGGUGACAAACCGGAGGAAGGUGGGGACGACGUCAAGUCAUCAUGGCCCUUACGAGUAGGGCUACAC